GCUGUUGUUGCUGUGGCUGCUGAGAUGAGAACGGAGUGGAGAAGAGCGAGUUGCCAAAUCCGCCCGAGGCGAAGGAAGAUGUCGACGGCGUCCCGAACGCCGGCGUGGAUGAAGGCGUGCCGAAGGCCGGCGUGGCUGAGGGCGUUCCGAAGGCGGGCGUGGACGACGGCGUACCGAACGCAGGGGUAGACGAAGGAGUGCCGAAGGCGGAGGUUGAGGAGGAACCGAACAACGGCGUGGACGACGGAGUGCCGAACAUGGGGAUAAUAGAGAGGUUAGAUCUGAGUGAAGAGAGAGAGAGGGAGAGAGGUUUUAGGGUAAAGAUGCAGCCCAACUGUUCGACGGAAUUACCAGCGCCUUGGCGGAAGCUUUUAGGGCUUUGUUGGAUUUUUCUUCAUCUUGCGCUUCUCUUCCAAAGUAUAUCACCACACCAACUUACUCUUUUUUUUUUUUUUUGACACAUUGGCUUAUUUAUUUUAAAAAUUACUAAUAUUUAAAUAUUUGCAGUUUAUGUUACAAAAAGAAAACUAAUAUUUAAUUGUUUAUCAUUCAAUACAAAUUAAUGAUUUUAAUGCACUUUUGGAAUCAAUAAAUCUUCAGCCAAAACUAACUGUUUUAAACUUUCAAAAUAUUUGUAUGGUUGAUAAUUCUUGCAAUCAAAAUUCACAAUAUACCAGCUACGAUUGGAUUUGGAAAAUGCAUUAGAGAAAAAUAUAACUUCUAGACACCAGACACCAGAAACCAGAGGAGGUUGUCUCCAAUAUAAGCUAAACUUGAAACAUUCUUAUGAACGAAUGAAAUGUAAGCUCUACUAUUCAACAUGUCAACUCUUCGAAACAGAUUGUCAAAAACUGAUAAAGAUGAUUCACAAUCCAUGGGCAUGGCACAACUUCUGGACAACUUCAAAGAAAACAGCAAUACUAAAAAGAAGUAUUCGAACUUUCACAACUGGAUACUUUCCUUGAAUGCUUGAACAUUAAAUUCUACAGUAGAUUCAUUAACCAAGCUUCCAAAUCUUUUCAUACCAAGUUAUGUUUGUUGGUUAUUCUUUUUAAGUUUGAUUAUCUAGUCUUAGUCUUAGAUUCAUCCAGUUUUGUAAUCUGUGUUUGGCUUAUAUCCCAGUGAUAACGACUUGGUUGAAAACAUUGUUAAUUGUGCAUAUAUAACUUUGGUCCUUUCGGUUGUGGAAGGAAAAGUUUUAUGGAAGCCAGCAAUACUACUUGGGGCUUUUUUUUUUUUUUUAUAAGUAUGUUAAUUAUCAUUAAAAAUGAAACUGAGUUGUACAUUUAUAAAGGUUUGAACGGUAAAGCCGAUUAAUGUCAAAAAAAGUUAAAAAAACAACAAAAGGCUUAAAUGAUGAGAUAGAAGAUCAACAUCACACUAGACAGUAUGCUUGAGCCAUACUUGCAUUAGGCAACCGAAUUUGCUGCGGUUCUUCCUGGCUAGGAUUAUGUUCCUGAGAAGUCUGUCAAUGUCUUUGCAGAGGCAAGGAGAGCUAUAUAUGGUGGCCUGAGCAACAAGACGUCUGAGAGUGAGAGGGCUCGUUGUGUCUCCAACAUCGAGCCAGGCAAUAAGAGCAGUCCAGGUGUGGAAGUAGAACGGUCUGUAGCCGAGACGUACAGUGAUCUCCUUCCAUAUAUGUUCGCUGAAAGAGCACCUUAGGAAAAGGUGGUCUCUGCUUUCAUCAUAGUGUCCACAUAACAAGCACGUUUUGACAAUGCUUGUAUCCCAAGCAGCAAGGCGACAACGGGUUGGUAAUCUAUCAUAGUUAGCUACCCACAUGUUGAAAGCAUGCUUAGGUAUAUGCCCACUGAACCAGACAACAGAUUCCCAAUCUACUCAAGUUCCUCGAGGUCUAACAGAUUCCCAAGUUUUACUAGUCGAGAAGGAGUCAAGGUAUUUGUCAUUUACGUACCAUUUGAAGACGUCAGGACUGUCUGUUGACGAUGGGAGAGUGGUAGAACAGAGGAGGAUUUGAAGUUACUCUGCUUCAAGAGAUCUCGCAGGUCUUAGAGACCAGCCAGUAGAUGUGCAACAAUCCUUUACCCUGGCGGAAAGAGGGACACCGAUGUCGGCGGAACCAUCACUUCCAAAGAACUCAAUUAGCGUGUUAAGCAAAUAGUUGUAUUAUUCGAUUAACAAAGAAGUAACAAUAUCAAAUUCACCAAGAACCAAAGUUCCGAAUGAAUCUGAUCCUCAGAAACGAGAACAAGCUCUCGAAUCUGCCAAUCUUGUGAGAUCACUCUCUACAAGCCUAUGAUUCUGUUACAAUCUAACGAAAUGUAUCUAUAUUUCUCAUAACUCUUUUAUUUAUUCACUUCUUUAUUCUUCAAGUCUUCUUUUCCACGUCAUUCUGCCACGUCUGCUUCCUCAUUUGUUCUCGACCUCUUCCGAACGUAGACUCUCAACGGUCUAUCAAUACCCGCCGCGUCGAAACGAAGCUUGUCCUCAAGCUUCAGAUGAGGAAAUUGCUUAAGUAACAUUAUUGCCUUCUCCCAUGAAUUCUCAUAAUCUGGUAAACCUGUCCAAGAAACCAACGCUUCCAAACAACCCUGUGCAUCAUAGCGUGUGUCUAACACCUGGGCCGGUUCAAUCACCACCUCCUCUGCAUCAGAUAACGAACGCGGUAAAUCCAAUAACCGGUUUCAAUUGUGAGACAUGAAACACAUUAUGAAUUUUCGACCCCACUGGUAGUUUCAGCUGAUACGCCACCGCUCCAAUACGACCAGUAACUUCAAAUGGAUCAAAGUAACGAGCCGCUAGCUUUUGGUACAAACGUUUGACCACCGAACAUUGUCGAAACGGUCGUAGCUUGAAAAACACCAUAUCACCCACCUGAAACACUAGCUCUCUCCUAUGUUUAUCAGCAUUAGUCUUCAUUCGAUCCUGAGCCAAUAACAAAUGUUGUUUAAUCUGCUUCAACAUACUAUCCCUUUCCUUCAACAUACAUUCCAAAUCAAAGUUAGCAGUUGAUCCCUCUUCAAACUUCAAUAUAGAUGGAGGAUCCCGUCCAUAUACGACCCGAAACGGCGUUGUCCCCAAAGCGGUAUGAUAGUUUGUAUUAUACCAUAAUUCCGCCCACGGUAAGUAUUUUGCCCACAACUUUGGAUGAGACGAGGCAAAGCAACGCAAAUAUGUUUCAAGACAUCGGUUAAGGACCUCUGUUUGCCCAUCAGUCUGCGGAUGAAAGGUUGUGCUAUAUUUAAGCUGUGUUCCUCCCAAUCUGAACAAACUCUUCCAAAAAUAACUUAAGAAGAUGCGAUCUCUGUCCGAUACAAUAGACGCCGGAAAACCAUGUAAGCGAACGAUCUCUUUAAUGAACACAUUUGCAACUUCCACUGCCGUAAAUGGGUGCUUCAGACUUAAGAAGUGAGCAAAUUUGCUUAGACGGUCAACCAAUACCAGAACCACAUUCACCCCUUCUGAAACCGAAAGCCCUUUGAUAAAAUCCAUAAAAAGACCAUCCCACACCUGUUGAGGACUAGGUAACGGUUGUAAGAGCCCAGCCGGAGUUAGCGUUGAAUAUUUAUGUCGUUGACAUAUAUCACAAGCGGCCACAUAAGCCUGAAUGUACUUUGUCAUCUUGUGCCAAUGAAACACCGCUUGAACACGUUUGACAGUCUUCAAUACCCCUGAAUGACCUCCCAAAAGACUGUCAUGAUAUUCUCUAAGAAUCAACGGUAUAUGAGUUGAAUCUUUUGCCAACAACAAGCGACCCUUAUACCGUAUUCUGCCAUGCACAAUGUCGUAGCCAGCUUUCUUAAAUGCCCCAUUAUCAAUCGCUGUCUUCAAUGUUUGUAACUCCUGUGAUUGAUCAAUCUCCACAAAGAUGUCUUGCAUUUGAAUACUCGCCGGAACAGUUAGUGCAGCUAAUGACAACUCUGUCAGCUCAGAAUCAUGCACUCCCACCCGAGAUAAACCGUCUGUAGCUUUAUUCUCCACUCCUGGCUUAAAGAUUAUAUCAAAAUCAUAGCCCAAAAGCUUAGUAAGCCACCGUUGAUAAUCCAAAGAAACUUCUCGUUGUUCCAAGAGAAAUUUCAAACUUUUUUGGUUAGUGUGCACUAUAAACUUCCUACCAAACAGAUAGUGACGCCACUUCUGAAUCGCUAGUACUAUUUCCAUCAAUUCCCGCUCGUAAAUGGGUUUUAUUUGUUCCCUAUCUGGCAAACCUGAGCUGAAAUACGCCACUGGCCUCUGAUUUUGCAUCAAUACCGCGCCCACUCCAUAACCAGACGCAUCAGAUUCUACUACAAACGUUUCAGAAAAAUCUGGUAACGUUAAGACCGGUGUUGUACACAUCGCAAUUUUUAACUCGUCAAAUGCUUUCUUAGCUUGUAUCGACCAUUCAAAAGCAUCCUUCUUCAAUAGACUAGUCAAUGGUCGAGCUAUAGAACCAUACCCCUUCACAAACUUUCUGUAAUAGCCUGUUCAACCCAAAAAUCCUCUUAAAGCCUUCACUGUUUUUGGAAUAGACAAUUUACGCAUUGCCUCUGUCUUUUCUGGAUCAGUCGAAACACCUUCACUGCUUAUCAAAUGACCCAAAUACUCCACCUUCGAUUGUCCAAAAGAGCAUUUUUUUUUAUUAGCAAACAGUUGGUGUUUCUCAAACAGCUUCAGAACAAUCUCCAAAUGUUGUACAUGCUCCUCCACGGUCUUGCUAUAUAUGAGAAUAUCGUCAAAGAACACCAAGAUGAAUUUUCGCAAAUAUGGUCUGAAUAUCUCGUUCAUGAGAGCUUGGAAUGUAGCCGGUGCAUUUGUUAAACCAAACGGCAUCACUACAAACUCAUAAUGACCAUCUUCUGUCCUGAAUGUUGUCUUGUGUAUAUCUUGCUCUUUCAUUCGAAUUUGAUGAUAACUCGAUCGCAAGUCAAGCUUAGAGAAGAUCUGAGCUCCGAACAACUCAUCUAGUAGCUGAUCAAUCAUAGGAAUGGGAAAUUUGUCAGCCACUGUUACCUUAUUCAAUGCUCUGUAGUCAAUGCAAAAUCGCCAAGUCCCAUCCUUUUUCUUUACCAACAACACGGGACUGGAAUAAGGGCUGCGAAUUGGAUGAAUGAUGCCCGAUUGCAACAUUUGAGAAACCAUCUUUUCCAUCUCUUCCUUAUAUGAGUGAGGAUAACGGUAAGGACGAACACUUACGGGCCCAAUAACUGCUACAAGAUUGAUAGCGUGCUCUCUAUCACGCAGAGGCGGUAACUGAGUUGGCUCAGCAAAAACUUUCAAGUGCCUUUCCAGUAAGUGCUCUAUCGGAAGUGGAAUCUCUUGUUGCUUAUCGGAAAUAUUGACCUGGAAGAACUCAAUGCCAAUUCCAUUUAAGUGAGACUUAUUUAGCUGCAAUCCUUUCUGACUCAUGUGCCCAUUCUGAAGUGACGAAUCGCCAUAUAAUGUCACACGCUCCCCUUUGAAAACAAAAGACAUCUCGUGUUUUUCCCAAUCCACUUCACACUUCCCCAGCGUGCGAAGCCACUAAACUCCGAGGAUCAUAUCGACUUGUCCCAGUUCCAACAUGAUAAAAUCAGCUUUGUCUUCCAACACUGGCAAGCCAAAAUGUACAUCCUUGCAAACACCCGUUCCAUUGACAGAAAUACCAUUACCCAAUAUGAUCUCCAAUUUCCUAUCUCUCACUGGCGUGAUUUGUAAUUGUUUAACCACCGUGGGAGAUAAGAAAUUAUGUGUUGCACCACUGUCAAGCAUUACCACUAUCUUCAUCUGUCCAAUGUUACCCCACACCUUCGUUGUCGUUGGUGAAGAUAAUCAAAAGAAAGAAGCUAGUGAUAUCUCCAUGAGUUCUGUAACCACACCAUUUUCAUCUUCAAAAGUAUCUAUCCAUUCUUCAUUAUGUAACUCGACUUCACAACCAUCAAUCACCGUUAACACUUGUAAACCCACUGAUUUGCAUUCAUGAGUCUUGGACCACUUCUCAUCACACUGAUAACACAACCCCAAACGUCUUUUCUCUGCCACCUCUGCUGGAGUUAGACGUUUAGCUCCUGCGUGACCACCCUGUCUUUGUUGUUUAGCUUGUUGACUGCUACUACCCGUCUCUUGGCUGUUACUGUUGUAUUUUGAUGACGAUCGCAGAGGAAUAAAACCCGUAGAACGUGAUGUUGUGACUGUAUGAGCAACUCUUGCUACUGACUUACAAAACGCACUGUCCUCCAUCAUGCUCACUGCCGCAAUGUGCUGACGUAAUCCCUUUGGUUCCUUCAUCUUAAUCACCUCUUUCAUCUCAGGUUUCAGGCCAUUAAAGAAUACAUGAACCAAAUUCUUUUCAUCUAUUCCCGUCACCAUUGAUCGUAACUCUUCAAACUCAUUGAUGUACUCUGUAAUUGACCCCUUAGAUUGCAAACAAUCUUUUCCCUGGUUCAUCUUCCAUCCGUUGAGUAAAACGCAAUACCAAUCUUUCCUUGAAGUCUUCCCAACUAACAAACGGUUCUUCCUCCAACUCAAUGUUAAACCAAUUCAAUACUGUCCCCUCAAAACACACAGAUAGCAAAUCAAAUCUCUUCCGUUCAGAGAAAUUCCCCAAUCGAAAGAAUCUUUCUGCUCUAUUGAUCCAUACGUUUGGAUUAGCUCCCACAAAGUUAGGAAGGUCCACUUUUUCAACAAUUCACUCCUAGAUUCCAGAUUAUUCGCGAUUCCUCGAUAACCUAACGAUUGAUCUUCCAUAGGCGUAACUGGAAUCGAACGAUGUACCUGAUCUUGUUGAAUCGAAGUUCCUGCAACUGCCUUCCACGCAGCUUUUUCAGCUCGCUGCCAUGCUUCCAUUCGCGAUAACGUCUGUACGAUUGUCGCCAUCUGCGUUGAUAACUCUUCGUUCGACUUCGUAAGACGUUCCCAACCUCUGUGAAUCGCCUCGACUUGUUUCCGCAAAUCACCGAUAUUAUUAUGCAUUUCUUCCAAAUCAUUAUCGAACGAUGCAAUCGACGCCAUCUCCGUCGUUCGCCGCUCCGCUUCGCCGAUCACAAUCUGUUUCUCCGCCGCGUAGAUCCGAUAGAGUCACCGCACCAAUUUGUUAAGCAAAUAGUUGUAUUAUUCGAUUAGCAAAGAAGUAACAAUAUCAAAUUUACCAAGAACCAAAGUUCCGAAUGAAUCUGAUCCUCAGAAACGAGAACAAGCUCUCGAAUCUGCCAAUCUUGUGAGAUCACUCUCUACAAGCCUAUGAUCCUGUUACAAUCUAACAGAAUGAAUCUAUAUUUCUCAUAACUCUUCUAUUUAUUCACUUCUUUAUUCUUCAAGUCUUCUUUUUCACGUCAUCCUGCCACGUUUGCUUCCUCAUUUGUUCUCGACCUCUUCCGAACGUAGACUCUCAACGGUCUAUCACAACAGUCCUAUAGGUAACCAAUAAUCAAACCAAAAGAACGCCAAAGCACCAUUUCCAAUCUCACAUCUUAGGAAUUGUUCAGCCAUUGACCAUAUCCAAGAACAUUGUUUUUUCUCAUCCAUACUCCAUAGGCUGGCCCCUUUAAGCCGGUGCUUCUUGGUCCAUUUUGCCCAAAGAGACUCGGAUUUCGAGUGCAAUAACCAGACAAGCUUUAGCGAAAGAGUCUUAUUCCAAGUAUGCAAGUCUCGGAGUCCUAGACCACCCUCAGAGCGAGGUAAGCAAACUGGUUUCCAUGAUAACUUUGCAGCUGCUCUAUUGGUGAUAUUUCUGUGCCAAAGAAACCUUGAGCAGAUGGACUCGAUAGCUUUGAUACUUGGUGUAUUCGAAUCAGCGAACACAUCUUAUAGCAAUAUAUCUCAGAAUUCAUGGUUAUAAAUUCACAGGUCUGACGACAGCAAUGCCAAAAUUGGAAUGUGGCAGCAGAGUCAUCUUCUGAUCCAAACGAAAGAAAAUAAUGGAAAGAAGAAAGAGAGGCAGCUUUAUUCUGCUCAUCUCAGUUUCAAACGAAAGUAGCAAUCGAAUUUUAAUGGGCGAGGUUCACCGAGCUGAUGAUUUUUUAAAAAAAUUCUUUUGUACAAAAUCUUUUACAUGUAGAGAUAAUUAUGAACAAGAGCUUCUCAAACUUUUCCUUGGGCGCUCUCUUUUUUUUCAGGCACAUUCCAGAAAAGGAAUAAAUCACAAAUGGGUAAUGAAAAAUAAUCGUGAAAGCAUAUUUCCACAGGCUUAGUAUCAUACACACCACAAACAUACGAAUCAUUGACAAGUUUAAUGGCCAUACACACACACACACAAAGGGAAUGAAGCAAAAUUAAAGGGGGGAAAUCAGAAGUUGAUGAGAAGGAUGGUCGCGUCAUCACCAGAUGGUCUAAUUUGUGUGACUGUCCAUUUGGACGCGUCCUCUUUAUCAAGGUCACCAGUUAAGGCGUUAUAUCCCUGGAAUCCUGCAAUCAGAAUAACCUUAUUGUUCCAUUCCCUUAGUCUGAACCAGGAAUCACUCCGGGACUCAUGAGGCACAAACACCGAGCUCCAGGAAUUCUCCUCUAGAUCAAACACUCCCAGUCCCGACAUGUUAUAGUCAAGGAAAUACACUUUGUUCCUAAUAACAGUGUAGGAAUAGACCAACAGUGAUUUUCCCGAGUCUAACUCUUCCCAUGUCUUCGUUUUGGGGUCAUAUACGUCAAUGAACCUCGAUCCAUUACCUGAAAAAAAAAUCAUCAUCAAUUAAAGUAAAGAAUAAAUUUAGUUUCAACCAGACUAGAUCUCUUUCUUACUUACAGCGUAGAGUUUGGACUUGAAUGAGAAUGCGAAGUCACCCAAGACAUGGCGGUCUGGACAAUCCAUGAGGCUCCACUGGUUAGUUUCCGGGUUGUAUACUUCCGCGCUGAGAAUGUGUUCACGACAUGAGUCCUUGCCUCGGACCACGUACAAAAGGCCGUCCACUACAGCACAUGCAAAGUCGUGACGUGGUAUAUUCAUGGACGCCAGUUUUCUCCACCUGUUCCGACAAGAAAUCAGACGAAAAACCUUUUCACUUUGGUCCGAAUUCAGAGAAGAUGUAACAGAGAUUUGAUCAGAUGAUCUCGAAAGAGAUAUCAAUAGAAGAGAUAUUGAGUAUACUAAGCUCUCUAAUACUUGUAUAGAAACAGAGGCUUAGCAUACUUUUCUAUAUACCGUAUACUUGUAUAUAAAGGACACACAUUGUACAUGAUUCAUUAAGUUAAUAUACACAGUUUAAGUUUUUGUACUCUCUCUCUCAAUAUCUUGAUAUGGUAUCAGAGCAUAACUAACUUUUCCGCCAUUUUUCUUCGUUCUUGAGCUUCGAUUCUCGCCAUGAGUGCUUCGAUCUCAAAUCUUUUCUUCGAUUUCCUCAUCUCAUUGGUGAUUCGAGUGCUGGAUCUGAUCGCUUUCGUUUGUUUCGUCGUCGUUCUUCGUCUCGUGUGCCUCUGAGCUCUGAUUCAUCUUCGAUUGAGCUCCGAUUCGCAUCGCAGACCUCUCGUUUCUUUGUUCCGGUUCUUCGAUUCCGAUUUACAAACUUCGAUUCAGCUCAACUCGGCUUUCAUCACUGAUUCGACUCGUUUCUUGACAUUCAUUCGAUGGCGACUUCGCCUUCUACUUCGACUCAUCCGCUCGUGGAUCAGUAUGAGAAUCCUUACUAUCUUCAUAACUCUGAUCAUGCUGGAUUGGCGCUUGUUACGGAUCGUCUUGCCUCUGGUGCUGACUUCCAUUCUUGGCGUCGUUCCGUUCGUAUGGCUCUUAAUGUCAGGAACAAACUCGGCUUCAUUGACGGUACAAUCUUGAAACCUUCUGCUGAUCAUAGAGACUCUGGUGCUUGGUCUAGGUGCAAUGAUAUGGUCUCUACGUGGCUAAUGAAUUCGGUUUCUAAGAAGAUAGGUCAGAGUUUGCUCUUCAUGUCUAGUGCUGAAUGUAUUUGGAAGAAUCUUAUGACGAGGUUUAAGCAGGAUGAUGCUCCUCGCAUCUUUGAGAUUGAGCAAAAGUUGAGCUCUAUCCAGCAAGGUUCUUUGGACAUCAGUACCUACUAUACGGAACUUGUCAUGCUUUGGGAGGAGUAUCAAAAUUAUGUUGAUCUCCCUGUGUGUACGUGCGGCAAAUGUGAGUGUAGUGCUGCAGCGUCUUGGGAGAAGCUCCAACAAAGGAGUCGUGUCAUGAAGUUCUUGAUGGGUUUGAAUGAGUCCUAUGAAGCUACUCGACGUCACAUUCUGAUGUUGAAACCAAUUCCCCCAAUUGAGGAAGUUUUUAACUUGGUUACUCAGGAUGAGCGUCAGAAGAGUAUUAAGCCGGCUACAAGAGUUGAUAAUGUUGUCUUUCAAAGUUCGACGAGUGAGUUUGAUCAGUCUCACUACUCUGGACCAGUUGAGAAUGCGGCCUAUGCUGCUGUGAACAACGAUAACUCAUAUCGGUCUAGGCCACGUCCUAUUUGUACACACUGCGGCGUUGCAGGACACAUUGUGCAGAAAUGUUUCAAGUUGCAUGGCUAUCCGCCUGGUCACAGAUUCUACAACAACAACAACUCUCAGCGAAGCACCUCUCAGCAUAAUCCUCAGUCUGGUUCUUCUCAGAGACCACUUCAAACGAAGCCUGCACAAUCUUACUCUAAGCAGAACAACGUUGCUAAUGCAACAACUGCUUCCUCGAUUGCUCCUCAAGCAGGGACUUUGGAUCUAACUACUUUUCAUCCUGAUCAAGUUCAUCAGCUCAUUCAACAGUUACAGUCUCAUAUGCGACCUCCUGACUCUCUUGCUUCACAGUCAUUGGUUAAUGCGUCAAUCACAGACAAAGGUUUCAUGGCUGAUCAAUCUUCAAGUGGUAUUGUCUCAAAUUUCUCUUUUCCUUCCACUAGCCUGCGUUUUGAGCAUCAAUCUUUAACCUUUCAACACCAAACACUUUCUUCCCUAUCUACAAAUCUCCCUUUGGGUUCCUGGAUAAUAGAUAGUGGUGCUACUACACAUGUUUGUUCUGACUUAGCUCUGUUUAGUUCAGUGUCUCUUGUUUCAGGAGUUACAGUCUCUCUUCCAAAUGGUGCUAAGGAACCGAUAACUCAUACUGGCAUAGUGCAUUUAUCUGAUUCACUUGUCUUAUUGAAUGUCUUACAUGUGCCAUCUUUCCGGUUUAAUCUCAUCAGUGUUAGUAGUCUAUUACAACAACAUCGUCACUCUGCUCAUUUCUUUUUUGAUUCAUGUCAUAUACAGGAGCAUACUCAGGGCUUGAUGAUUGGUAGAGGUUCUGUGAUUCACAAUCUAUACAUUCUUGAUCAACAAAUGCUUUCUCCGUCGUUGAACUUCUGUGGAUCCUUGAAGGUUGAUGGUUCUCUUUGGCAUCAACGCCUCGGACACCCACCAUCUGCCAAGUUACAACAUCUCUCUGCUGAUAUUGCUUUAGAUAAGUCUUCUUUACUCGAACAUGCUAGUUGUCCUGUUUGUCCAUUAGCUAAGCAACGUCGUUUACCUUUUCCUCAUAAGAAUAACAUGUCUAAGGAACCGUUUGAUCUUAUUCACAUAGACACUUGGGGUCCUUUUAGUGUUGAGUCUGUUGAGGGUUACAAAUACUUUCUUACGAUUGUAGAUGAUCAUACUCGUGUAACGUGGAUCUAUAUGAUGAAAUAUAAAAGUGAUGUUUCUGUUAUCUUACCAUCUUUUGUUAAGCUUGUGCGCACUCAAUAUAAGGCUAAUAUCAAAAUGAUUUGUAGUGAUAAUGCUCAAGAACUUGCCUUUUCAAACUUGAUAAGAGAGAAUGGUAUUAUGCAUCAAUUUUCAUGUGCUUACACUCCUCAACAGAACUCUGUUGUUGAGCGUAAGCAUCAGCAUCUCUUAAAUGUUGCACGUGCAUUAAUGUUUCAAUCUAGUGUCCCAUUACAAUACUGGAGUGAUUGUGUUCUUACUGCGGUUUUUCUCAUUAAUAGAACUCCGUCAUUACUUUUAAACAAGAUCUCGCCUUAUGAAAAGUUGACAGGAGAGAAACCAGAUUACAGUUUCUUAAAAUCGUUUGGGUGCUUGUGUUAUGCAUCAACUCUACAAAAGGAUAGACAUAAAUUCUCACCUCGAGCUGAACCAUGCAUUUUCUUGGGAUAUCCAUCAGGCAUUAAGGGUUACAAAGUUCUAAAUAUUGAAACUCGUAUUGUUUCUGUCUCUCGAAAUGUUCUCUUUCACGAAACAGAUUUUCCAUUUCAGAAACUUGAAAGUAGUUCAAAACCAGAUAAUAUCUUCUCUAAUUCCAUUUUGCCGUUACCUGUUCCUGUUGCUAUUGAUUCUGCCAUUCCUGUUCAUGUUCCUUUGCAUUCACAUGCAUCAUCAUCAUCGUCUGCAUUACCAUCGGUUCCUUCAAGUGUUCCUUUGGAUGGAGAAGCUGUGACUUCAGGAACAACAGUUACUGAACCUGGUAGAGCUCGGCCAAAACGAACAGGUAAGGCUCCUACCUAUCUUUCAGAUUACCAUUGUUCUCUCAUUUCUAUGGAUUCUUCUUUGAAAAACCACUAUGUUGCUAAUAUCAUUUCCUCUCCUUCAUCUGAACCACUUUACCCACUUUCCUCUGUUCUCUCAUAUGAUAACAUUUCUUUUUCUUUCAAAGAUGCUGUCCUUACCUGUUCUCUUGAGACCGUACCUACAUCUUUUAAGCAAGCCGUGAAGUCUGAGUUCUGGACAAAAGCAAUGAAUGUGGAGUUUGAGGGAAUGGAUCGUAAUGAGACUUUCACUGUUGUUUCUCUGCCCCCGGGUAAAAAUGUUGUGGGUUGCAGAUGGAUUUAUACGAUCAAAUACAAUGCAGAUGGCACUGUGGAGAGACGAAAAGCUCGCCUUGUUGCUAAAGGAUAUACACAACAAGAGGGUCUUGAUUACACAUAUACCUUCUCUCCAGUGGCUAAAAUGACUAGUGUGAAGCUUAUUCUCAGUCUUGCAGCUUCACAAGGUUGGAGUCUGGAUCAAAUGGAUGUCACUAAUGCGGUUUUGCAUAGUGAGCUUGAUGAGGAGAUAUACAUGAGCUUACCAUUGGGAUAUACUCCACCCCCUGGUGUCAGCUUGCCACCAAAUCCGGUUUGCCGUCUCAACAAAUCGAUCUAUGGUCUGAAGCAAGCGUCUCGCCAAUGGUACAACUGUUUCUCUUCUGUUCUUCUCGCAAAUGGAUUCUCACCUUCUCUAGGAGAUCACUCUCUCUUUGUGAAGACCUCUGGAUCAUCCUUUAUUGCAUUGCUUGUCUAUGUUGAUGAUAUUCUCAUCGCUAGCAAUAAUCCUCAAGCUGUUCUUGAUGUUAAGAAGGUCCUUCAUCAAGCUUUCAAGAUAAAAGACUUAGGCCCUGCUCGAUUCUUUCUUGGUCUGGAGAUAGCAAGAAACUCGACAGGCAUUUCGGUAUCUCAACGGAAGUAUGCAUUGGAUCUCCUUGCGGAUACAGGUUUGCUUGCCUCAAAGCCGUGUGCUGUCCCAAUGGAUCCAUCUAUUCCUUUGAGUACCACUACUGGAGUCUCUUUGCCUGAUGCUACUCCUUAUCGUGAGUUGAUUGGACGGCUCCUUUAUCUCACGAUAACUCGUCCUGAUAUUACGUAUGCUGUUCAUCGGUUGAGUCAGUUUCUAUCUGCUCCUACUGAUGUUCACUUUCAGGCUGCUCAUCGGAUCAUUCAUUAUGUGAAAUCUAAUCCUGGACAGGGUUUGUUCUAUGCUGCUGACUCGGAGACAUGCUUGAAUGCCUUUGUUGAUGCAGAUUGGGCUUCUUGUCUUGAUACUCGACGCUCUAUUACUGGCUUCUGUGUCUAUCUUGGCAAAUCAUUGAUCAGUUGGAAAUGUAAGAAGCAACAGACAGUGAGUAGGAGCAGUACUGAAGCAGAGUAUCGCAGCAUGGCUUUGGCGACUUAUGAACUCAUAUGGUUGCAGCAGUUGCUUACUGAUUUGAAGAUUACAGUUCAACACACAGCUAAGCUCUUUUGUGACAACAAGUCUGCCAUUCACAUUGCGACUAAUCCGGUAUUUCAUGAACGCACUAAACAUAUAGAGAUUGAUUGUCACACGACGCGUGAUCAGGUCAAGAAAGGCUUCAUCAAGCUCAUACAUGUCAUCAGUGCUGACAAUCAUGCGGAUAUCUUCACCAAGCCGCUACAUCCAUCUCCUUUUCAUCACAUCCUCUCUCGUAUGUCUGUUUCAAGCCUCUUCACUCCAUCAUCAUCUUCAUCUUCUACUUCAUCAACUCUACCUUCCAUUUCAGAGGCUUGAGAGGGGCGUAUUGAGUAUACUAAGCUCUCUAAUACUUGUAUAGAAACAGAGGCUUAGCAUACUUUUCUAUAUAUCGUAUACUUGUAUAUAAAGGACACACAUUGUACAUGAUUCAUUAAGUUAAUAUACACAGUUUAAGUUUUUGUGCUCUCUCUCUCAAUAUCUUGAUAAGAGAGGUACUGAGAUUGGAAAAAAAAAGACCUGUUAGACUCAGGAUCGAACUCGUAAACAUCCGCCGAAGAAGAGAUACCGGUCCCAUCGAUCGAAGAUCCUUCGACCACACUAUAUCCACCGAUGAACACGAUCUUAGCGCCAUGGAGCACCGCGACGCGGGAACCGUACAUGAAAGGAACAGGGACGCGAGGGAUCUGUCCCAGAUUGUUUCCGGGUGCGUCGAAAACUUCCCCGUACACGUAUCUUACGAACCGUCUGUCUCUUAAGAACCGGUCUUCCAUCACAACACACAUUAACUCCUCCACCGAUCCGGUCAACUUUCGAACGGCCGCCUAAUGCUCGCUCCGAAGGAACCUUCUCCAUCGCCAGCAUACCUGCGAAAUGGUCUGAAACUUAGAGCGCGGGAUUCGCGAGAGGCAACGUUCCGCUACGUCGUCCGUCAAGCCGGGUAUUAACGACGACGGUGAAGACUCCGCCAUGUUAAAAUUGUCCUUGAACGAUUUUGAUUACUCGCUCAUUGCAUCAUUCAUUAGUAAUGGUUAACAUAAAUAAAUUGACUUGAUAACAUUGAUUGACCGAGUGUUUCCGAGUUUAAUAUCCACCCUCUUGCUGAACUAAACAUAUAUUCCCUCCAUAAUUAAUGUUGGAAAGUCAAAUCCUCUCCACUUUACCUGUCUCAUUGAGUCGUUUCAAUUCAAAAUUUGAUCCAAAUGAUCCUCAAAUAAAUAAAAAAAUUAUACCCAGCCACAUUUGCCCGCGCUGAACUUUUCUUUUGUACAAAAUAUUUUACAUGUAGAUAAGAUGAACAAGAGCUUCUCAAACUUCUCCUUGGGCGUAUAGAUAGUUCUAUCUUUUUUCAGGCACAUUACAAAAGAGGAAUACAUCAUAAAUGGGUUUUUAAAAAAAUUUCUCGCUCUGCUUCAGUAACAAAGCCAUACAAAACAAUCGUAAAACAUAUAUACACAAACUUAGCAGGCAUACACACCACAAAUAUAGGAAUCAUUGACAAAGUUGAUGGCCAAACUCACAAAGUUAACAGCCCCAAAAUACUACACACGUUUUUUUUUUGCAAAAGAACGAAGCCAAAUGGGGAAAUCAGAAGUUGAUGAGAACGACGGUCGCGUUAGAACCAGAUGGUUUAAUGUAUGUGGCUCUCCACUUGGACGCGUUAUCUUUAUCAAGGUCACCAGUUAAGGCCUUACAUCCCCCGAGCCGUGCAAUCAGAAUAACCUUAUUGUUCCAUUCCCCUAGUCUGAACCAGUAACCACCCGGGGACCUAGGCACACCCACCCAGCUCCAAGAAUUCUCCUCUGGAUCAAACACUCCCAGUCCCGGCAUUUUCCUGUCAAAGAAAUACACUUUGUUUCUAAUAACUGUGUAGGAGUAGACCGACAGUGAUUGCCCCGAGUCUAACUCUUUCCAUGUCUCCGUUUUCGGGUCAUAUAUGUCAAUGAACCUCGAUUCAUUGCCUGAAAAAAAAACCAUCAUCAAAUUAUGUAAGAAAAAACUUAAUUUCUUCAACCAGACUUAUUCGAAAUCUAUAUAUGGCCAUGUCUAUAGCUCUUAUACUCACUUACUACGAAGAGUUUGGACUUGAAGGAGAAUGCGAAGCCACGCCAGACCGGGCGGUAUGGACAAUCCAUGAGGCUCCAUUGGUUAGUUUUCGGGUUGUACACUUCCGUGCUGAGAAGGCUAUCACCAAAUGAGGAAAAGCCUCGGAUCACAUACAAAAGCCCGUUCACUACAGCAUAUGCAAAGUUGUGACGUGGCACGUUCAUAUUCGCGAGUUUCCUCCAGCUGUUAAUAUCAUUCCGACAAAGAUAUAAAAGAAGAAUUCAGAUGAAAACCUCUCCACAUUGGUCGAAAUUCAGACAAAAGUGUAAAACAGUUUUUUUUGUUUGAAUUAAUUAACAUUCUUGCAAAAAGAAAAAGAAAUUCAGACAAAAGAUGUUAUGUUUCUAAGGAAGGAGAAAUUCAGGUUAAAGAAGACCUGUUAGUUAGAAGGAAAAAAAGAAAUUCAGACAAAACAGCUUUUUAGAGAAAGAUGUUAUGUUUCUAAGGAAAGAGAGAUUCAGGUUGAAGAAGACCUGUUAGUAGCAGGAUCGAACUCGUGAACAUCGGCAGAAGCAUAGAUAGUGGUGCCUUUGAUCGCAAACCUUUCGUCCCUCGUAUACCCACCGAAGAACACGAUCUUUCUGCCACGGAGCACCGCGACGCCGAAACCGCUCACGAAAGGCCCAGGGAAGGUGGGAAUCCUCCCCAGACGGUUCCCGGAGACGUCGAAGACUUCCCCGAACAAGUAUUUCACGAACCGGCCGUCUCUUACGAACUGGCUUUCCAUCAGAACGCACGUGAACUCCUCCACCGAUCCGGUCAACUUUCGAACGGCUGAGAAAUGCUCGCUCCUAAGGAACGUCCUCCAUCGCCGGCAGACCUGAGAAAUGAUCAGGAAGGCAGAGUAAGGGAUUCGCGAGAGGCAGAGCUCCGCUACGUCGUCGGUCAAGCCGGGUAUUAACGACGAUGGUGACGACGACUCCAUUUUACUUGAUCUCCACGAUUUCGACUAAUCGCUCAUUGCAUCAUUUAGUUAUGGCUGAUUGACUUUUGAGUAAUCAAAUCACUUGAUAACAUUAGAUUGACCAAGUGUUUCCGCGUUUUAAAUCGUUAGUUAUGGUUGAUAUAAAUAAAUUGACGAGUAAUCCAUCUUCAUUAACUACAACAUCUUAAUUAAACUGUUCAAUUUUCAAAGCGAGCAUAUUCAGCUCUUAUUCAGGUGGUUGCGUGCUAUCAAAGCUUCGCAUUUCUUGGGUAUGCCUUUGGCCUGCAGGUUUGGUUCAUUCGGAUAAUUCGAUUUGGAUAGUCCGGUUUAUGGUUAUUUCGGUUAAAGUUGUGCUUAACACAACCGAAAACAAAUAUGGUUUGGGUUCGAUUAAUUUGUGAAAAUUCCCUGAAACUAACCAAAAUUUUCAGCUUCAAUUAGAUUUUUGGUUUAUUUUUGAUAAAAAAAGAGGGUUACAAAUACUUUCUUACGAUUGUAGAUGAUCAUACUCGUGUAACGUGGAUCUAUAUGAUGAAAUAUAAAAGUGAUGUUUCUGUUAUCUUACCAUCUUUUGUUAAGCUUGUGCGCACUCAAUAUAAGGCUAAUAUCAAAAUGAUUUGUAGUGAUAAUGCUCAAGAACUUGCCUUUUCAAACUUGAUAAGAGAGAAUGGUAUUAUGCAUCAAUUUUCAUGUGCUUACACUCCUCAACAGAACUCUGUUGUUGAGCGUAAGCAUCAGCAUCUCUUAAAUGUUGCACGUGCAUUAAUGUUUCAAUCUAGUGUCCCAUUACAAUACUGGAGUGAUUGUGUUCUUACUGCGGUUUUUCUCAUUAAUAGAACUCCGUCAUUACUUUUAAACAAGAUCUCGCCUUAUGAAAAGUUGACAGGAGAGAAACCAGAUUACAGUUUCUUAAAAUCGUUUGGGUGCUUGUGUUAUGCAUCAACUCUACAAAAGGAUAGACAUAAAUUCUCACCUCGAGCUGAACCAUGCAUUUUCUUGGGAUAUCCAUCAGGCAUUAAGGGUUACAAAGUUCUAAAUAUUGAAACUCGUAUUGUUUCUGUCUCUCGAAAUGUUCUCUUUCACGAAACAGAUUUUCCAUUUCAGAAACUUGAAAGUAGUUCAAAACCAGAUAAUAUCUUCUCUAAUUCCAUUUUGCCGUUACCUGUUCCUGUUGCUAUUGAUUCUGCCAUUCCUGUUCAUGUUCCUUUGCAUUCACAUGCAUCAUCAUCAUCGUCUGCAUUACCAUCGGUUCCUUCAAGUGUUCCUUUGGAUGGAGAAGCUGUGACUUCAGGAACAACAGUUACUGAACCUGGUAGAGCUCGGCCAAAACGAACAGGUAAGGCUCCUACCUAUCUUUCAGAUUACCAUUGUUCUCUCAUUUCUAUGGAUUCUUCUUUGAAAAACCACUAUGUUGCUAAUAUCAUUUCCUCUCCUUCAUCUGAACCACUUUACCCACUUUCCUCUGUUCUCUCAUAUGAUAACAUUUCUUUUUCUUUCAAAGAUGCUGUCCUUACCUGUUCUCUUGAGACCGUACCUACAUCUUUUAAGCAAGCCGUGAAGUCUGAGUUCUGGACAAAAGCAAUGAAUGUGGAGUUUGAGGGAAUGGAUCGUAAUGAGACUUUCACUGUUGUUUCUCUGCCCCCGGGUAAAAAUGUUGUGGGUUGCAGAUGGAUUUAUACGAUCAAAUACAAUGCAGAUGGCACUGUGGAGAGACGAAAAGCUCGCCUUGUUGCUAAAGGAUAUACACAACAAGAGGGUCUUGAUUACACAUAUACCUUCUCUCCAGUGGCUAAAAUGACUAGUGUGAAGCUUAUUCUCAGUCUUGCAGCUUCACAAGGUUGGAGUCUGGAUCAAAUGGAUGUCACUAAUGCGGUUUUGCAUAGUGAGCUUGAUGAGGAGAUAUACAUGAGCUUACCAUUGGGAUAUACUCCACCCCCUGGUGUCAGCUUGCCACCAAAUCCGGUUUGCCGUCUCAACAAAUCGAUCUAUGGUCUGAAGCAAGCGUCUCGCCAAUGGUACAACUGUUUCUCUUCUGUUCUUCUCGCAAAUGGAUUCUCACCUUCUCUAGGAGAUCACUCUCUCUUUGUGAAGACCUCUGGAUCAUCCUUUAUUGCAUUGCUUGUCUAUGUUGAUGAUAUUCUCAUCGCUAGCAAUAAUCCUCAAGCUGUUCUUGAUGUUAAGAAGGUCCUUCAUCAAGCUUUCAAGAUAAAAGACUUAGGCCCUGCUCGAUUCUUUCUUGGUCUGGAGAUAGCAAGAAACUCGACAGGCAUUUCGGUAUCUCAACGGAAGUAUGCAUUGGAUCUCCUUGCGGAUACAGGUUUGCUUGCCUCAAAGCCGUGUGCUGUCCCAAUGGAUCCAUCUAUUCCUUUGAGUACCACUACUGGAGUCUCUUUGCCUGAUGCUACUCCUUAUCGUGAGUUGAUUGGACGGCUCCUUUAUCUCACGAUAACUCGUCCUGAUAUUACGUAUGCUGUUCAUCGGUUGAGUCAGUUUCUAUCUGCUCCUACUGAUGUUCACUUUCAGGCUGCUCAUCGGAUCAUUCAUUAUGUGAAAUCUAAUCCUGGACAGGGUUUGUUCUAUGCUGCUGACUCGGAGACAUGCUUGAAUGCCUUUGUUGAUGCAGAUUGGGCUUCUUGUCUUGAUACUCGACGCUCUAUUACUGGCUUCUGUGUCUAUCUUGGCAAAUCAUUGAUCAGUUGGAAAUGUAAGAAGCAACAGACAGUGAGUAGGAGCAGUACUGAAGCAGAGUAUCGCAGCAUGGCUUUGGCGACUUAUGAACUCAUAUGGUUGCAGCAGUUGCUUACUGAUUUGAAGAUUACAGUUCAACACACAGCUAAGCUCUUUUGUGACAACAAGUCUGCCAUUCACAUUGCGACUAAUCCGGUAUUUCAUGAACGCACUAAACAUAUAGAGAUUGAUUGUCACACGACGCGUGAUCAGGUCAAGAAAGGCUUCAUCAAGCUCAUACAUGUCAUCAGUGCUGACAAUCAUGCGGAUAUCUUCACCAAGCCGCUACAUCCAUCUCCUUUUCAUCACAUCCUCUCUCGUAUGUCUGUUUCAAGCCUCUUCACUCCAUCAUCAUCUUCAUCUUCUACUUCAUCAACUCUACCUUCCAUUUCAGAGGCUUGAGAGGGGCGUAUUGAGUAUACUAAGCUCUCUAAUACUUGUAUAGAAACAGAGGCUUAGCAUACUUUUCUAUAUAUCGUAUACUUGUAUAUAAAGGACACACAUUGUACAUGAUUCAUUAAGUUAAUAUACACAGUUUAAGUUUUUGUGCUCUCUCUCUCAAUAUCUUGAUAAGAGAGGUACUGAGAUUGGAAAAAAAAAGACCUGUUAGACUCAGGAUCGAACUCGUAAACAUCCGCCGAAGAAGAGAUACCGGUCCCAUCGAUCGAAGAUCCUUCGACCACACUAUAUCCACCGAUGAACACGAUCUUAGCGCCAUGGAGCACCGCGACGCGGGAACCGUACAUGAAAGGAACAGGGACGCGAGGGAUCUGUCCCAGAUUGUUUCCGGGUGCGUCGAAAACUUCCCCGUACACGUAUCUUACGAACCGUCUGUCUCUUAAGAACCGGUCUUCCAUCACAACACACAUUAACUCCUCCACCGAUCCGGUCAACUUUCGAACGGCCGCCUAAUGCUCGCUCCGAAGGAACCUUCUCCAUCGCCAGCAUACCUGCGAAAUGGUCUGAAACUUAGAGCGCGGGAUUCGCGAGAGGCAACGUUCCGCUACGUCGUCCGUCAAGCCGGGUAUUAACGACGACGGUGAAGACUCCGCCAUGUUAAAAUUGUCCUUGAACGAUUUUGAUUACUCGCUCAUUGCAUCAUUCAUUAGUAAUGGUUAACAUAAAUAAAUUGACUUGAUAACAUUGAUUGACCGAGUGUUUCCGAGUUUAAUAUCCACCCUCUUGCUGAACUAAACAUAUAUUCCCUCCAUAAUUAAUGUUGGAAAGUCAAAUCCUCUCCACUUUACCUGUCUCAUUGAGUCGUUUCAAUUCAAAAUUUGAUCCAAAUGAUCCUCAAAUAAAUAAAAAAAUUAUACCCAGCCACAUUUGCCCGCGCUGAACUUUUCUUUUGUACAAAAUAUUUUACAUGUAGAUAAGAUGAACAAGAGCUUCUCAAACUUCUCCUUGGGCGUAUAGAUAGUUCUAUCUUUUUUCAGGCACAUUACAAAAGAGGAAUACAUCAUAAAUGGGUUUUUAAAAAAAUUUCUCGCUCUGCUUCAGUAACAAAGCCAUACAAAACAAUCGUAAAACAUAUAUACACAAACUUAGCAGGCAUACACACCACAAAUAUAGGAAUCAUUGACAAAGUUGAUGGCCAAACUCACAAAGUUAACAGCCCCAAAAUACUACACACGUUUUUUUUUUGCAAAAGAACGAAGCCAAAUGGGGAAAUCAGAAGUUGAUGAGAACGACGGUCGCGUUAGAACCAGAUGGUUUAAUGUAUGUGGCUCUCCACUUGGACGCGUUAUCUUUAUCAAGGUCACCAGUUAAGGCCUUACAUCCCCCGAGCCGUGCAAUCAGAAUAACCUUAUUGUUCCAUUCCCCUAGUCUGAACCAGUAACCACCCGGGGACCUAGGCACACCCACCCAGCUCCAAGAAUUCUCCUCUGGAUCAAACACUCCCAGUCCCGGCAUUUUCCUGUCAAAGAAAUACACUUUGUUUCUAAUAACUGUGUAGGAGUAGACCGACAGUGAUUGCCCCGAGUCUAACUCUUUCCAUGUCUCCGUUUUCGGGUCAUAUAUGUCAAUGAACCUCGAUUCAUUGCCUGAAAAAAAAACCAUCAUCAAAUUAUGUAAGAAAAAACUUAAUUUCUUCAACCAGACUUAUUCGAAAUCUAUAUAUGGCCAUGUCUAUAGCUCUUAUACUCACUUACUACGAAGAGUUUGGACUUGAAGGAGAAUGCGAAGCCACGCCAGACCGGGCGGUAUGGACAAUCCAUGAGGCUCCAUUGGUUAGUUUUCGGGUUGUACACUUCCGUGCUGAGAAGGCUAUCACCAAAUGAGGAAAAGCCUCGGAUCACAUACAAAAGCCCGUUCACUACAGCAUAUGCAAAGUUGUGACGUGGCACGUUCAUAUUCGCGAGUUUCCUCCAGCUGUUAAUAUCAUUCCGACAAAGAUAUAAAAGAAGAAUUCAGAUGAAAACCUCUCCACAUUGGUCGAAAUUCAGACAAAAGUGUAAAACAGUUUUUUUUGUUUGAAUUAAUUAACAUUCUUGCAAAAAGAAAAAGAAAUUCAGACAAAAGAUGUUAUGUUUCUAAGGAAGGAGAAAUUCAGGUUAAAGAAGACCUGUUAGUUAGAAGGAAAAAAAGAAAUUCAGACAAAACAGCUUUUUAGAGAAAGAUGUUAUGUUUCUAAGGAAAGAGAGAUUCAGGUUGAAGAAGACCUGUUAGUAGCAGGAUCGAACUCGUGAACAUCGGCAGAAGCAUAGAUAGUGGUGCCUUUGAUCGCAAACCUUUCGUCCCUCGUAUACCCACCGAAGAACACGAUCUUUCUGCCACGGAGCACCGCGACGCCGAAACCGCUCACGAAAGGCCCAGGGAAGGUGGGAAUCCUCCCCAGACGGUUCCCGGAGACGUCGAAGACUUCCCCGAACAAGUAUUUCACGAACCGGCCGUCUCUUACGAACUGGCUUUCCAUCAGAACGCACGUGAACUCCUCCACCGAUCCGGUCAACUUUCGAACGGCUGAGAAAUGCUCGCUCCUAAGGAACGUCCUCCAUCGCCGGCAGACCUGAGAAAUGAUCAGGAAGGCAGAGUAAGGGAUUCGCGAGAGGCAGAGCUCCGCUACGUCGUCGGUCAAGCCGGGUAUUAACGACGAUGGUGACGACGACUCCAUUUUACUUGAUCUCCACGAUUUCGACUAAUCGCUCAUUGCAUCAUUUAGUUAUGGCUGAUUGACUUUUGAGUAAUCAAAUCACUUGAUAACAUUAGAUUGACCAAGUGUUUCCGCGUUUUAAAUCGUUAGUUAUGGUUGAUAUAAAUAAAUUGACGAGUAAUCCAUCUUCAUUAACUACAACAUCUUAAUUAAACUGUUCAAUUUUCAAAGCGAGCAUAUUCAGCUCUUAUUCAGGUGGUUGCGUGCUAUCAAAGCUUCGCAUUUCUUGGGUAUGCCUUUGGCCUGCAGGUUUGGUUCAUUCGGAUAAUUCGAUUUGGAUAGUCCGGUUUAUGGUUAUUUCGGUUAAAGUUGUGCUUAACACAACCGAAAACAAAUAUGGUUUGGGUUCGAUUAAUUUGUGAAAAUUCCCUGAAACUAACCAAAAUUUUCAGCUUCAAUUAGAUUUUUGGUUUAUUUUUGAUAAAAAAAAUCGAAUAAUUCUGGUUAUUUUGUUUCGUCGAGAUUCUGGUUAGCUUGGGUCAAAUUUUUUAUUAGUUUGGUUUAUAAUUUGGUUAAAGUCGAUAUGAUUUGGUUUUUUUUUUUCUAAAACGAACUAACCGAUUGUCGAACCAAACCCAUAACUGAUUGUUUUUUAAAUUUCCUAAUUGAACCCAACUCUAAACCGGACCUAAACAGAAAACCAAAAUAUUUUGGUUCGGUUCAGGUCAAAUCUCCGGGGUUAGUAUGCAUGUAGUUCUUUCUCAAUGCACGCUUACUUGGCACUUGUCUCCUAAAUCCAUUGAUGUCUACCAAAGCAAUAGAAGCUUUGGACGGAAUGAAGGCAUCCCUCUACACGUGAGAAACACUCCAACCAAGCUAAUGAAAUGUGGAGAGAAUCAUGCUGUUCAAGUCUUUGUAGAUGCUACGCUUUAUUAUCUACAAUAUACGCUGAACUUGAAGCAUUCUCAUGAACGAAUGAAAUGCAUGUUCUACUACUUAACAUGUCCACUCUUUGAAACAGAUUGUCAAAAACUGAUAAAGAUUAUUCAUAAUUCAUGGGCAUGUCACAACUUAUCUGACAAAGUUAAAGGAGAUAAACAACACUAAAAAGAAUGAAGUAUUCAGGCUUUCACAACAAGAUACUUUCUUGAACAUACGGCAGAUUUUUUUUUCAGCAACAUACAAAAGAUGAUUAAUAAACAUCAUAAAUGGGUUUUUUUAAAUUUUCUCCCUCUGCUUCAGAAACAAAGCAAUGCAAAACAAUCUGUGAAAACAUGUUUACACAAGUUUAGUAGGCAUGGACACUAUAAAUAUAGAAACCAUUGACGAAGUUGAGGGCCAAAGCACAAAUGAAGCCAAAUGGGGAAAUCAGAAGUUGAUGAGAACGAUGGUCGGGUUAGAACCAGAUGGUUUAAUGUGUGUGUCUCUCCACUUGGACGCGUUCUCUUUAUCAAGGUCACGAAUUAAGGUACGUCCCCCGAGCGGUGAAACCAGUAUAACCUUAUUGUUCCAUUCCCCUACUUUACACCAGUAAGCACCCGGGGACCGAGGCACAGACACUGAGCUCCAAGAAUUCUCCUCUGGAUCAAACACCCCUAGUUCCGGCUUUUUAUAGUCACUGUUAUGGUCAAAGAAAUACACCUUGUUCCUAACAACAGUGUAGGAGUACACCGAAAGUGAUUGCCCCGAGUCUAACUCUUCCCAUGUCUCAGUUCUGGGGUCAUAUAUGUCAAUGAACCUCGAUUCAUUGCCUGAAAAAAAAAGCCAUCAUCAUCAAAUUAUGUAAGAAAAAACUUAGUUUCCCAUGUCCAUAGUCCCCACUACAACGAAGAGUUUGGACUUGAAGGAGAAUGCGAAUGCACGAUGAAAGUCGGGGCGGUCUGGACAAUCAUCCAUGAGGCUCCAAUGGUUAGUUUCCGGGUCGUACACUUCCGAGCUUUGAAGGCAUUCACCAUCCGAGGAAAAGCCUCGUAUCACAUACAAAAGGCCGCCCACUACAGCAAACGCAAACUCGCGACGUGGCACGUUCAUACCCGCCAGUUUCCUCCAGCUGUUAUUAUCAUUCCGACAAGAAAAAUCAGAAACAAAACCUCUUCACUUUUGGUCGGAAUUCAGAUAACAGAGAAUCANNNNNNNNNNNNNNNNNNNNNNNNNNNNNNNNNNNNNNNNNNNNNNNNNNNNNNNNNNNNNNNNNNNNNNNNNNNNNNNNNNNNNNNNNNNNNNNNNNNNNNNNNNNNNNNNNNNNNNNNNNNNNNNNNNNNNNNNNNNNNNNNNNNNNNNNNNNNNNNNNNNNNNNNNNNNNNNNNNNNNNNNNNNNNNNNNNNNNNNNNNNNNNNNNNNNNNNNNNNNNNNNNNNNNNNNNNNNNNNNNNNNNNNNNNNNNNNNNNNNNNNNNNNNNNNNNNNNNNNNNNNNNNNNNNNNNNNNNNNNNNNNNNNNNNNNNNNNNNNNNNNNNNNNNNNNNNNNNNNNNNNNNNNNNNNNNNNNNNNNNNNNNNNNNNNNNNNNNNNNNNNNNNNNNNNNNNNNNNNNNNNNNNNNNNNNNNNNNNNNNNNNNNNNNNNNNNNNNNNNNNNNNNNNNNNNNNNNNNNNNNNNNNNNNNNNNNNNNNNNNNNNNNNNNNNNNNNNNNNNNNNNNNNNNNNNNNNNNNNNNNNNNNNNNNNNNNNNNNNNNNNNNNNNNNNNNNNNNNNNNNNNNNNNNNNNNNNNNNNNNNNNNNNNNNNNNNNNNNNNNNNNNNNNNNNNNNNNNNNNNNNNNNNNNNNNNNNNNNNNNNNNNNNNNNNNNNNNNNNNNNNNNNNNNNNNNNNNNNNNNNNNNNNNNNNNNNNNNNNNNNNNNNNNNNNNNNNNNNNNNNNNNNNNNNNNNNNNNNNNNNNNNNNNNNNNNNNNNNNNNNNNNNNNNNNNNNNNNNNNNNNNNNNNNNNNNNNNNNNNNNNNNNNNNNNNNNNNNNNNNNNNNNNNNNNNNNNNNNNNNNNNNNNNNNNNNNNNNNNNNNNNNNNNNNNNNNNNNNNNNNNNNNNNNNNNNNNNNNNNNNNNNNNNNNNNNNNNNNNNNNNNNNNNNNNNNNNNNNNNNNNNNNNNNNNNNNNNNNNNNNNNNNNNNNNNNNNNNNNNNNNNNNNNNNNNNNNNNNNNNNNNNNNNNNNNNNNNNNNNNNNNNNNNNNNNNNNNNNNNNNNNNNNNNNNNNNNNNNNNNNNNNNNNNNNNNNNNNNNNNNNNNNNNUUCAUCUUGAAGCUGCAGGUGCCAAACAAAAAGAGUAUCAAUGAAUGAAUUAACUUUUUACAUAUCAAUGGAUGUCAAACAACAGUAAGUGCUUAAUCCCCCUCAUAAACAAACUUGCUCACAUAUAGAAAAAGAAACUAAACCCACUGAACAAAAAAAAAUUUAAGAAACUUGGCAGUUGAUAAAAAUCUACCUUAAGUCGCUGAGAAAGAUCUUUAAAGCCUUGCACAAGCUGAGGCCAAAGGCGCUCCCUUUCUGAUGAAUCCAUGCCUUCAAGUUUGCUCAUAGCCUCUGCCCACAUUAUCUACCCACGAAGAGGAAUCAAUAACAAUACACACGAGAAAGCUACACAUUUCCAUGACAUGAUUCAAGAAGAUUCUCACAUCUGAUACAGCAGCAGGCUUCACACGGUACUGCUGUUCAGUCACACUGAACAAAAGAUGCUGCAAGCAAAUGUAAACAACAAUGUUAAACUUAAACAGAUGCAACCACAGAACUCUGAAUUUUACACAGAAACUAACCUUAAACGCAUACUUAGGAUUCGUCGGAUCUUCCUUAUACGCUUCAACGAUGGCCUAAAUCAAAAAGCGAGUUAGUGAAUUUCAGAUCUAGACUUGCAAGAAACCAAAAGAUUUUGAUUGAGGAGAAGCUAAUCGCAAACCUGAAUAUCUCGAUCGGCGAGGGAGAAAGGAAUCGGAGCAACGGGAGCCAUCUGAGUAGUCAAUUGCGUAGUUUGGAAAGGCGUCUGCUGCUGCGCCGUGUUGAACGGCGACUGAAAACCGAAACCAGAAGACGCCGGUUGCUGAAACGGCGAGUUCUGCUGCUGCUGCUGCUGUUGUUGCUGUGGCUGCUGAGAUGAGAACGGAGUGGAGAAGAGCGAGUUUCCAAAUCCUCCAGAGGCGAAGGAAGAUGUCGACGGCGUUCCGAACGCCGGCGUGGAUGAAGGCGUGCCGAAGGCAGGCGUUGCUGAGGGCGUUGCGGAGGCGGGAGUGGAUGACGGCGUACCGAAGGCCGGGGUGGAAGAAGGAGUGCCGAAGGCGGAGGUUGAGGAGGAACCGAACAUCGGCGUGGACGACGGAGUGCCGAACGCCGGCGAGGAGGACGGAGUGCCGAACAUGGGGAUACGAGAGAGGUUAGAUCUGAGUGAAGAAGAUAGAGGGAGGGAGAGAGAAGGUAAAGGUUUUAGGCAAA
rnacentral:lncRNA from 1 species